rnacentral:misc_RNA from 1 species
GAUGAAGAACGUAGUGAAAUGCGAUAAGUAAUGUGAAUUGCAGAAUUCAGUGAAUCAUCGAAUCUUUGAACGCACCUUGCGCCCUUUGGCCAUUCCGAAGGGCAUGCCUGUUUGAGUAUCAUGAACACCUCAACUCUUUAUGGUUUUCCAUGAUGAGCUUGGACUCUGGGGGUUUUGCUGGCUCACAGUCGGCUCCUCUAAAAUGGAUCAGCUUACCAGUGUUUGGUGGGUAUCAUGGGUGUGAUAACUAUCUACGCUUGUGGUUUUUCCACCAGGUAACCUUCAGCAGUGGAGGUUCGCUGGAGCUCAUAGAUGUCUCUCCUCAGUGAGGACAGCCCUUUGAAUGUUUGAUCUCAAAUCAGGUAGGACUACCCGCUGAACUUAAGCAUAUCAAUAAGCGGAGGA